rnacentral:rRNA from 1 species
GAUGAACGCUGGCGGCGUGCCUAAUACAUGCAAGUCGAGCGAACGGACGAGAAGCUUGCUUCUCUGAUGUUAGCGGCGGACGGGUGAGUAACACGUGGAUAACCUACCUAUAAGACUGGGAUAACUUCGGGAAACCGGAGCUAAUACCGGAUAAUAUUUUGAACCGCAUGGUUCAAAAGUGAAAGACGGUCUUGCUGUCACUUAUAGAUGGAUCCGCGCUGCAUUAGCUAGUUGGUAAGGUAACGGCUUACCAAGGCAACGAUGCAUAGCCGACCUGAGAGGGUGAUCGGCCACACUGGAACUGAGACACGGUCCCGACUCCUACGGGAGGCAGCAGUAGGGAAUCUUCCGCAAUGGGCGAAAGCCUGACGGAGCAACGCCGCGUGAGUGAUGAAGGUCUUCGGAUCGUAAAACUCUGUUAUUGGGGAAGAACAUAUGUGUAAGUAACUGUGCACAUCUUGACGGUACCUAAUCAGAAAGCCACGGCUAACUACGUG